rnacentral:tRNA from 1 species
UACAUCUUGGUGUAUGGUGCACGGUGGCUUUUGAUGCUUGCAAGAGAUAGUUUAAUUCUGUUGGAUGUAA